UACGUAGGCAGCGAGCGUUGUUCGGAAUUACUGGGCGUAAAGAGUGUGUAGGCGGUGCUCUAAGUUCGGUGUGAAAUCUCCCGGCUUAACUGGGAGGGUGCGCCGGAAACUGGAGUGCUCGAACGUGGGAGAGGAAAGCGGAAUUCCUGGUGUAGCGGUGAAAUGCGCAGAUAUCAGGAGGAACACCGGUGGCGAAGGCGGGUCUCUGGGCCGAUAUUGACGCUGAGGAGCGAAAGCGUGGGGAGCAAACAGG
rnacentral:rRNA from 1 species